rnacentral:ncRNA from 2 species
AAUAACACAACCAAUGCUGGCGCCCGAAAGGGCUUAAUAGGGAAGGUGGUGCGAAUCCACCGCGGUCCCGCCGCUGUGACCGGGGACAAGACGCCGCACGAAGGUUCACGAAGAGCCGGUGGCCACUGCAGUUGGUUGUGAUAGCGGGAAGGCGCGGCGCCUUGGAUGCUUUUUAGCGAGACCCGGAAGCCAGAAGACCUGCCAGUUGACAUUAUUCGCA